rnacentral:rRNA from 1 species
GGUUAAAACGCUCGUAGUUGGGUUUCUGUCAGGAACAACUGGUCUGUCCUGAGUGUCGAGUACUAGUUCGGCUCCUGGCAUCUCCUUGGGGAACGGGUGCGCACUUCACUGUGUGGCCUGGAAACCUUGACGUUUACUUUGAGGAAAUGAGAGUGCUUCAAGCGGGUGUCCGCCACGAAUACGUUAGCAUGGAAUAAUAGUAUUGGACCUCGGAUCAUAGCUGUUGGUUGCUGGAAUCGGGGUGAGGGUAAACAGGGACAGU